UACAUGGGGUGCAAACGUUGCUCGGAAUUAUUGGGCGUAAAGCGCACGUAGGCGGUUCGUUAAGUCGGAUGUGAAAGCCCUCGGCUCAACUGAGGAAGUGCACCCGAAACUGGCGAGCUUGAGUACGAAAGAGGAUCGCGGAAUUCCCGGUGUAGAGGUGAAAUUCGUAGAUAUCGGGAGGAACACCGGUGGCGAAGGCGGCGAUCUGGGUCGAUACUGACGCUGAGGUGCGAAAGCAUGGGGAGCAAAAGGG
rnacentral:rRNA from 1 species